GCUAGUGAAUCUGCUAGUGAAUCUGCUACUGCACCUACUGGUAAGACCACAGCUGCUGACGCAGGUGGUAACUGAAUCAGGUUCGUCAAGACUUACGGCGCGCGAAGUUUUUUCAUAUGAAGAAGGACUCAAACAACCAAGUAUAUUAUGUGUGUAUAUAUAUAAUAAUAAAUAU